CUCCUCCCUAUCCGUCUGGAAAAGUGGGAACUCCUUGACAUUUUGGUGGAAAGCAGGGGCAGAGACUGUAACAAGAAAGCCUUCAUUCUAGAAAGCAAACCUAGGGAACUCUUUUGGAAGAAGGAGGGGUAUUCCUUCACUCACUGAGUCAGCGGAUGGUCUGGAAACAAGAUGCUGAACAAGCCUGGAGGAGGAGGCAGCCUGACUCCUGUCUGCAGGCAGGAAAGGCUCCUCCCAGCUGAACCGCGGAGCCAGAAAUGGAGGAAGUCACGGCGACAAUAAGAGCAAAACGAUCCAGACAAAAUGUGUUACUAUUGCUGACCACUGAUGACACUUACACUGUCAACAACCCUACAGAAAUACUCGUAAAUGCCUGUGUUUGCAAGCAUAUUCAGUGCAGCAUGGAUUGCAAGAAUGGAAAAACAGAAACUACCUCCAUUCCCAUCACUGUCAAAUACAAUACUGGACAGCCACGAAAGAGGAUUGCAGCUGGCUCCAUUAUGGCCUCAAACUUCCCAGUUGGGUUCUUCUUUCCAACUUCUCUCUGGGCUCAGGUGGAAGGUCCCAAGGGCAAAGCAGCCCCUGAGGCAACCGAAACUACCCCCUCAAGAAGCAGGAGGACCAGCCCAAGCCAGCAAGGCCCACCCAUGAUUGACCCCAAGAUAAUGACCAAUCUGCCCUUCACUGCCCACCGGCACAGACUCACCCGCCUUUGCCCCACAUUUUCCUUAUAUAAACCUGGCAGGAAUCCCGGCACUUUGGAGACAGUCCUUGAGAUAUUGGUGUGCUGUCUUCCCAGUGUUGCCCUCACUGAAAUAAAUUCCUUUCUUGUUCCACCACUGCUCAUUCCUCUGCCUUCGGAUUUUGUCAGUGGCGAGUGGCUGCACCUGGUCUGUUUGGGGUCCCUGAAGCUAACUUCUCUUGCACCCCUGUGCCCCGGCUACAGCUUUAAAAACAACAACAGUGAUAGGCCUACACUGAAUUCACUUGCUGCAAGCCUUCCCCUGCUCUGAGCACUUUGUUAUCUCAUUUAACGUCACAACAAUCCUGGCACAGUUAUUUCCCCGUUGAGGAAACCAAAGCUUAGGUGUAUUGACCUAUUUUUGCCCAAAACUGAAUUCCACUCCACAGCAACCAAUCUCCCUGUUCUUUAAGCAAAUUUUAGUUGUUUUUUAAAGUAAAGACCAUGGAAAGUAAAAAAAAAAAAAAAAAAAAAAAAAAAAAGCUUCUAGAAAGUAACUAGAAUAUCUUCAUGACCUUGGGGCAGGCAAAGAUUGCCUGAGCAGGACAUAGAAACUAAGCUCCCUGCACUUCAGAACAAGCAGUGGGUAUUAAUUGCCCAUUUACUCCCGUGCAUGUUCUCUCCUCGCACACAGGGUAAGUAGAAGGACUGCCCAGCGGAACUGGCUCAGCAUAUGAAGUUCUACUUUACUUUUCAGUUCGGGACUGCAGCAGGAAACGAGAAGGUUAGAAACUCAGGGAAGGGGGAACCCAUCGCUGUGUCACUGCCAACCGAGGCCUGAUCAUCCGGGUGACGGACACCAGGGGGCACCCUUCGGACAGUG
rnacentral:lncRNA from 1 species